UGGAGCGUGGAUACGCCCACCC
rnacentral:misc_RNA from 1 species